rnacentral:rRNA from 1 species
AGACACAGUCGCCGCGGUAAUACGAAGGGUGCAAGCGUUAAUCGGAAUUACUGGGCGUAAAGCGUGCGUAGGCGGUUUGUUAAGUCUGCAGUGAAAUCCCCGGGCUCAACCUGGGAAUGGCAGUGGAUACUGGCAAGCUAGAGUGUGUCAGAGGAUGGUGGAAUUCCCGGUGUAGCGGUGAAAUGCGUAGAGAUCUGGAGGAAUACCGGUGGCGAAGGCGGCCCCCUGGACAAAGACUGACGCUCAGGUGCGAAAGCGUGGGGAGCAAACAGGAUUAGAUACCCCAGUAGUCCCUGUCUCUUAUACC